rnacentral:lncRNA from 1 species
CGGAGAUGAGUUUGGUUAAGGAUAUGACUUGGAUUGAAAGUAAGCCUCCGCUUGUGUCGAUUAAGGUCCAAACCAUUGUUGGCUAUGCUGAUCAAGUUUGAAUAGUACUAAUCACAUGCUAGGAGUAGAAGGUAGUCGAAACUGGUAAACCUACGUACCUUAGUGCGCGCUGGUAGUUUGAGCUUGAUACCAUCUUCCUAUUCGGGUGCUAGUCAGUAAUUCAUGUCUGACCCGUUGGGGUAUUGGUGCAG